rnacentral:rRNA from 1 species
GACGAACGCUGGCGGCGUGCCUAAACCAUGCAAGUCGAACGAGGGCAUAGCUUCGGUUAUGUCUGAGUGGCGGACGGGUGAGUAACGCGUGAACAACCAACCCUAUACAGGGGGACAACAGCUGGAAACGGCUGCUAAUACCGCAUAAGACCACGGGAGCGCAUGCUACUGGGGUCAAAGGAGAAAUCCGGUAUAGGACGGGUUCGCGUCCCAUUAGCUAGUUGGCGGGGUAACAGCCCACCAAGGCAACGAUGGGUAGCCGAGCUGAGAGGCUGAACGGCCACACUGGAACUGAGAGACGGUCCAGACUCCUACGGGAGGCAGCAGGUAGGAAUAUUGGGCAAUGGGGGAAACCCUGACCCAGCAACGCCGCGUGAAGGAAGAAGGCCUCGGUUGUAACGUUACUGUGACAGGGAAGAAGAAAUAGAC